GCAACAUUGCACAGGGCAUGCAAUGACUCCAAACAGGAAUUCUAAUCUGACUUUUUUUCUUUCUCACUUGAUCCGGGAGGAUUUCUAAGGCUUUUAGAAGUCUAAAAUAAAGGUUUUUACACCAAAUAUAAAUAUAAUAAAGUCAGGAUUUGAGAGGGAUGAACCUAAUUUACAUUCAAGAGAGCCUAUCACCUUAACGAGAGGCAAGAGGAGAAACGGAUUUCCAAGAUUUUCACAGGAAGUUCCAGCUGAAGUCUGGGUUCUUUCAUUCUAUUUUUUCUCAUGUAUUUCUCUUUUAUUUUAUAUACUUGAUUAUAAAAGUCACCAUAUGUAGCUAGUUUUCUUAUUCUAGGGUUAGGAAUGUAGCACUUUCAAUUCAAUUAUGGAUUUAGUUUGAUUUUAUU
rnacentral:misc_RNA from 1 species